rnacentral:rRNA from 1 species
AUAAGAUAUCAAGGGCAACAGGUGAAUGCCUUGGCGCUGAGAGGCGAUGAAAGACGCGGUAAGCUGCGAUAAGCAUCGGGGAGGAGCUAAACAUCCUACGAUCCGAUGAUUUCUGAAUGGGGAAACCCGAUGGGAGUCAUGUCCCAUCAUCCUGAGCUGAAUAUAUAGGCCCAGAGAAGCCAACCCGGGGAAGUGAAACAUCUCAGUACCCGGAGGAAGAGAAAUCAAACGAGACUCCCAAAGUAGCGGCGAGCGAAAUGGGAAGAGCCCAAACCGAGUGGUUUCGACCAUUCGGGGUUGUAGGGCCGGCAUACGCGAUUCUGGAGUAGGCAGAGGAAGUGAGCUGGAAAGCUCCGCCACAGCGGGUGAUAGCCCCGUACUCGAAACCGAAAAGGACGCAGCCGGUACCUGAGUACUGCGAGGCACGUGGAACCUCGUGGGAAUCUAGGGGGACCAUCCUCUAAGGCUAAGUACUCCUCAGCGACCGAUAGUGAACUAGUACCGUGAGGGAAAGGUGAAAAGAACCCCUGUUAGGGGAGUGAAAUAGAAUCUGAAACCUGUUGCCUACAAGCUGCGAGAGCUACUUCGGUAGUGAUCGCGUGCCUUUUGUAUAAUGAGUCAGCGAGUUACUCUACCGUGCGAGGUUAAGCGAAAGCGUAGCCGUAGUGAAAGCGAGGCUUAAUAGGCCGACUAGUACGUUGGAGUAGACCCGAAACCGGGUGAUCUAUCCAUGAGCAGGUUGAAGCAAGGGUAAAGCCUUGUGGAGGACCGAACCGUCAACGGCUGAAAACGUUCCGGAUGACUUGUGGAUAGGGGUGAAAGGUCAAUCAAACCCGGUGAUAGCUGGUUCUCCCCGAAAUAUAUUGAGGUAUAGCCUCGGGAAUUGAUUAGCGGAGGUAAAGCACUGACAGAGCUAGGGGUCCUACCAGAUUACCAAACUCUAUCAAACUCAGAAUGCCGCUUAAUUGUAUCCCGGGAGUCAGACGGCGGGUGCGAAGGUUCGUCGUCAAAAGGGAAACAGCCCAGACCAACAGCUAAGGUCUCCAAAUCCAUGCUCAGUGGUGAAGGUAGUGGAACCGUUUAGACAGCCAGGACGUUGGCUUAGAAGCAGCCAUCGUUUAAAGAAAGCGUAAUAGCUCACUGGUCUAAUGGCUCUGCGCCGAAAAUGUAACGGGGCUAAGCAUGGUACCGAAGCUUUGGCAAUCUCCUUUGGAGAUUGGGUAGGGGAGCGUUCGCUGCGGGCUGAAGGUGUAUCGGAAGGUAUGCUGGACUGCAGUGAAGUGAUUAUGCUGACAUGAGUAACGAUAAAAUAUGUGAAAAACAUAUUCGCCGAAAACCCGAGGUUUCCUGGGUAAAGGUAAUCUUCCCAGGGUUAGUCGGAUCCUAAGGUGAGGGUGAAAGCCGUAACCGAUGGAAAACAGGUUAAUAUUCCUGUACUUGUUGUGUAGCGCGAUGGAGGGACGCAGGAAGAUAGGCGGGCCGGGUGUUGGAUAUCCCGGUGCAAGCGUGUAGGAAUAUCCGGUAGGCAAAUCCGCCGGACGAAUCUGAGACGCGAGUCCGUGGGCGCAAGCCCUGAAGCCGUUGAGUCUAUGCUGCCUAGAAAAGCUCCUAAGUUUAUCCACAGCAAUCCGUACCGCAAACCAACUCAGGUGGGUGGGAUGAACAAUCCAAGGCGCUCGAGAGAACUCUGGCCAAGGAACUCGGCAAAAUAACCCCGUAACUUCGGAAGAAGGGGUGCUCUCUAGGGUGACAUGUUUAACAUAUGAAGCCCCGGGGAGCCGCAGUGAAUUGGUGGUGGCGACUGUUUACUAAAAACAUAGGUCUGUGCGAAGUCCUAAAGACGACGUAUACGGACUGACGCCUGCCCGGUGCUGGAAGGUUAAAAGGAGGGGUCAGCGCAAGCAAAGCUCCGAAUUGAAGCCCCAGUAAACGGCGGCCGUAACUAUAACGGUCCUAAGGUAGCGAAAUUCCUUGUCGGGUAAGUUCCGACCUGCACGAAUGGCGUAACGAUCUCCACACUGUCUCGGCCAGAGACUCGGUGAAAUUGCAGUCGCGGUGAAAAUUCCGUGUACCCGCAGAAAGACGGAAAGACCCUGUGCACCUUUACUAUAGCUUGACAUUGGAUUUUGGGCCUGCAUGUGUAGGAUAGGUGGGAGGCUGUGAACCCUGUACGCCAGUAUGGGGGGAGCCA